AACGAACGCUGGCGGCAUGCCUAACACAUGCAAGUCGAACGAGACCUUCGGGUCUAGUGGCGCACGGGUGCGUAACGCGUGGGAACCUGCCCUUAGGUUCGGAAUAACUCCCCGAAAGGGGUGCUAAUACCGGAUAAUGUCUUCGGACCAAAGAUUUAUCGCCUUUGGAUGGGCCCGCGUUGGAUUAGCUAGUUGGUAGGGUAAAAGCCUACCAAGGCGACGAUCCAUAGCUGGUCUGAGAGGAUGAUCAGCCACACUGGGACUGAGACACGGCCCAGACUCGGCGGGGAGGGAGGAGUGGGAAGUAGAGGACAAGGGGCGAGCGCAGGGACGAACGAUGGCGUGUGAGUGAUAAAGGCCGUAGUGUUCUAAACCUUCUUUACCCGGGAAUAUAAGAACAGUACCGGGAGAAUACGCCCCGGAUAACUCCGUUACAGCAGCCGCGGUAAUAAUCGGAAGCGCACACGUCUGACC
rnacentral:rRNA from 1 species